CCCCUGAUAGCUCAGUUGGAAGAGCGUGAGAUUGUAAUUGGACAUUCGAAUCUUCAAGAUUCUCUCGAGGCCGCUGGUUCGAUUCCGGCUUAGGGGA